GGCUUUCAGCUCAAGUGUCCAGCAACCCCCGCGUUCUAGAUGGACCAAAAGACUCCUUUCCGGACCCAGCAAGCAGCACAGGAGCAAAGCAGCAGGCCGUAGCCUCGCCAUUUGCAACCGCACUUGGAUGCUUUUCUGAGCCUGCUCCCUCCAGGACAGAACGCGGAGCGUCAACAGGAUCCAAAUGGCUACAAGAACAGACUCUGAGAAACCAUGUAAAUGUCCCUAAUGGAUGCACAGCUGGCAAUCUGGUGGGGUGAGGGCAGUUUCCAGCGCAUCAUCUCCAGUCUCGCGGAGCCACACACACAUGGUGUUGGGCAAAGAUGGACUUCCACUUGACCCCGACCACUGACAUCUGACCGUUUGCAUCUGUGAGAGCAUAUGCUUAACACUUGUCAGCCGCACUUGCUUGAAGGAAGGGAAGUGGGGACAGGAGGAGAUAAAGACAACACCAUUCCAUAAAUAGGCCCCUGCAUCUUCUUGCCAACCUUCCCUCUUCCCGGAGGCCCCCUGGGACUCCCGUCAAAACCUACCCAAGCGUGUGCCCAGCUCCCAGCUCCCGGCCAGGCCGCCAGCGCUGUGAUGAGCCAGAACCGGUCUCUGUGCGCGGCCCGCAAAGACCCUGCCUGGGGGCCCUCCGGGCUUGUCACGAGGCCCAUGCUCGAGGUCUCUUUCCAACCUCUCCUUGAGAGCUGGGGACACAACCUUUUGAGUGACAUGUACGGAUUCUUUUCUGUGCUGGAGACAAUCCACGCACCUGUCAGUUGGAAAGCAGCUUCCCCACAAUGUUCUAUACCUGAACUAUGGCAAAGGUCACACGACUCUACACGAUUAUGACAGAGAGUCACCCCACAGUAUACUCAGAACAGGUGAAUUUUAUGGGAUGCAAACUAUACCUCAAUAAAGCCGUCUCAAGAAAAAGUCAGCGUCCACCUCACCUGGAUGUUUCUGUUCAGCACUGGACCUGAAGUGGGGGCCUGUGUUGUCUCUACAUGUGGACAACCUCUUGGCCCCUGUGGUUCAGAGGCUGGAACAGAGACUCUGCCGAGGGGGAGGCUGGGGCCAGAGUUCCAGGGUGAGGAGGAACCUGGUGAAGGGGCUUCCAGGAGACAGGCUUCCCGCCAGCCGCAGGAAGAGAGGACACUGACAGGGAAAAGAAGGGGCACCCAGAGGAAGCGGGUGAGCUACACAGCACGCCAGGGUGAUGGGGGGCGGGGUGGGGGAGUGGGAGGAGUUUCAUGUUAGAUUGAGCCAUCUGCCACUGCCAGUUUUGUAGGUCAAAACGGCUGGACACUGGCCCAACUUCACAUGUCCGUGUGUGCUAUGGAUGGGGAGUUCAGACUCCGGGGUCUGCUUACAGGCUGAGUGACCAAGGGCUCAUCACUUAAACUCUACGGGCCUGCAUCUUCUCACCUAUAAACGGGAUGGCACAGCCACACCCCGGAAGCACACUUUGAUUUCCACGUUUUAAUACAUACACGACGCCCAGCACAUGGCAGGCUCACCAAGGGCUCAAGGAGGGAGCAUCCUUCUUUCCUGCUCCCCCGCCCGCCUCUUCGCCUUACGUGGCCGCCUCCAGAGCAGGCGGAAGAGCAGAAUGAAGUUUGCACGGCCAGCCUCCCACAGGCAUCUCUCUUCCCUUGUAAGACCGGCCCCCAAAUAUGUCAGGACAGUUCUGCUCGGCGAAGGAGACCCCCACUUUCCUGAUGUUACUACAGAAAUACGAGAGCGCCGACUGUCCCUGGGGCCCGGGGCUGUGGCUGGCAUCCUCUAUGUGGGGGAACCAGGAAAUCAAACCAAAAGACGAACAGCCCAAAGGCAGAGCCAGGGGCAAAGUGAACCAACGGCCCCGGUUACCGACACACCCAGUGGGUAAGGGCGUUCGCUGCCAGGAGCCACCAGGUGGGCCUGGGUGGCUUCUGCAAAGCCAUCAUGCAAGGCUGUGAGUGCUCAUGGCCAGCUGUGCUAAAGACUAUGGGAGGUCAUGUGGAGAAAAGGCAUACGCACCACCCAGCUGAGGCCCAGGAGGACACUCGCCAGGAGCAAAGUGAUCUGAUGCUCAGCUGCCCCUGACCUGGUGCCCCCAGAUGCUGCUGCAGCCGAGGGCCACGGCGCUAAAACACAACUUCUCUACAAGAAGUGUCCUGGGCUGGUCACUCGGUGUACUCUUCCUUCAGUCUGCAGGCAACUUUAGCUAAUGUCAUACAGGCAG